ensembl:lncRNA
GAAAGAGGCAGUUGGCUUUGCCCAUCUCGAUCGUGUCCUGAGGAACGCUGGGACAGGAAAUGCCCAGCGUUUCUUUACUGUUUACUGGACGCCAGACCCACAGAUUUGGAAAGUUGCCUUGGGAGUCAUGAAAAGAUGAAGGGAGAAGGAGGAGGAGCACUGGUUUUCUGCCUUUUGUGGGACUGCCCUGGAGAUUCAAGAUGGAGUUCUGCAGAAUGGGAUGAGGGUGGGGAAGCCCCAACUGAGAGAACAAAGACAUCAAGUUGAAAGGCUUCUGCUGCUGCUGCUAAGUCGUUUCAGUCCUGUCCGACUCUGUGUGACCCCAUAGACAGCAGCCCACCAGGCUCCCCGGUCCCUGGGAUUCUCCAGGCAAGAACACUGGAGUGGGUUGCUAUUUUCUUCUCCAAAGCAUGAAAGUGAAAAGUGAAAGUAAAGUCACUCAGUCGUGUCCG